ACUGCGUCCAGUUACCCUCGGCGAACUUCAUCGGGGGCACGUCGCACGUCGUGUUCGCGCCCAUCGGGUCAUCACCCCCGUCGUUCUUCUCGCCAAAGGAACACGGCACGCACGCGUGAUCGAGAACGUGAUGAUCCGCGGGACAUCCGCACGUCGUGUUUGGUCCGCUCCAGUCGUCCCCGGGAGGGUUCACCGCGCCGACCGGGCACGCCACGCACGCGUUGUCCUGGACGUGGAAAUCGCGCGAACACGCGCCGCACGUCGUGUCCGAUUUCGACCAGUCGUCGCGCGCCGUGUUCAUCGUGCCGUUCGGGCACGCCACGCACGCGUGCGCGACGACGCGCUCGUCUCGCGCGCAACACGCGUCCGCGCGCUCGUACACCUGCGCGGAGACCGCGUUCGAAUCAUGCGCCGGCGUGCCGCCGACGACUCGUGAGCCGUCGCCGGAGAUGGCCAAGGUGUGACCAAGCACCCACGGCCCUGAAAACGGCGAGAUCGUGACGUUCAUGUGGAAGUCAGUCAUCAUGAUCCAAGAGGGCGUGUCUUUCAUGCGAUACACGCGCGUGUACCCUGUGCCGUUUGUAGACAUCCCGCUGAUCGCGAUGCUGUAGCCGUCGUCUGCCAACGACACGGCUGUUCCGAAGUGAUCGCCGGUAGUCUCGCCUUCGAGAGUGUCACCGAUCAAAAAUGGCUCAACUGCCGUACGUGUAUGGCCCGUGGGGGGAAGCGGGUCGCAGAAAUCCCAACCGCCGCUGACCACGUCACACCAAAUAGUAGUAUCACUAUCGGGGUUUCGGCAGUAAUUGUGUCCCACAAGGGGUCCCGAAGCAUAGCCAGCCCACUCUUCGUCUCCAGAGGUCCAAUAUGCGCACGGUUCACCGUUUCGAGCCACGUUCUGGCAGCCGCGAUAGUCCACAGCGCUUUGCACGUGCUCUGGUGUCCCCUCCGCGUAGUCGAGUGUCUCAUCGCAAGUGGUCGUCGUCGUGUUCGUGCGAUCGACAUCGUACACUUGCACGCGACCGCGUCCCUCGUCACUGUCGUGCGAGCCGAACGCCAGUCUCGUGCCGUCGCCUGAUAGAGAGAUGGAAUUUCCAGGUCCGGUGGCGGUCGCCAUUGCCAACUCAAUCGACGCGUUCACCACCGACACCCAAGCACUCGUCGCCGGCUGCUCACACGCUUGCGUCACGCCCUGCGUACACAGCCACUUCUUUGCCUCCGUCGCGGACACCCUGGAGUAUACCCCAGGGUAUCCCGCGGAUGCGCAUCCGACCCCCCACGACACGACGCCAACCUGCCGUAAGUCGGACGCGCGCACGAGCGGCCCGCCGCUGUCGCCUUGGCACGAGUCUUUCCCCAUCUCACCCGCGCACAACAUCGACUCGGGAACAAUAUCUGAUCCGUAGUUUGUCUGACAGUCCGAGGUCGACACCGCGGGGACGGUGACCUCCAGAAGGACACUCGACGGGUCCCCACCGGAUUCGGUUGUCCCCCAGCCCAUCGCGAUCAAAUUUUCGCCGGCGCUCGCGCCCUCGCCGACGUCGGUCGUGUCGAAGUCAAGAACGACGGGCUCAUACCUCGAGUUACUCUUCAACGUCACGACCGCGAAGUCCCAAUUCGUGGUAUCAGCAUCGUAGUAAGGAUGGUUCACGGCGUAAUCGAUCUCGAGGACAUCUGUGAUCGAGGGAUCGUACACAGAAGAGUUGUGCCAGUUUACGUAGGCAACGGUCGCCCAAUUAUCGGUGAACAUGCAGUGCGCGGCGGUCAGCACCUUGUUCGGGGCGACCAACGACCCGCCGCACCCGUUAAACCCAACCAUCCACUCGUACGUGUGCGGGUCAACCUCGGUGCCGCCGACGAUCCGCGUGCUCAUCGUCGGGGUCGAUCUAUAGGCCGCGUCGUCGGUCUCGCCGUCCACAAUCUGCGUGAUGUUCGCGUGUUCGUGAUCCGCCGUUCUCAGCUCGAACACGUCGNNNNNNNNNNNNNNNNNNNNNNNNNNNNNNNNNNNNNNNNNNNNNNNNNNNNNNNNNNNNNNNNNNNNNNNNNNNNNNNNNNNNNNNNNNNNNNNNNNNNCCUUGCUGGACAUGUCGUCUUUCAACACGCCGACGGCUAAUCUCGGUGCCGUCGCCGGACAACGACAAGACGCCCCCACGGUAAUCGUCGUACACUUGACGUGUCUCCACGUCAUCUCCCACUUGGCUCCAGCCAAUGUUGGGAUCGAACGAGAACACGCUCAACACGCUAACUCCAAUUAGCUUCGCCGGCUGCUCACACGCUUGCGUCACGCCCUGCGAGCACAACCACGUCUUUGCCUUCGUCGCGGACACCCUGGAGUACACCCCAGGGUAUCCCGCGGAUGCGCAUCCGACCCCCCACGACACGACGCCAACCUGCCGUAAGUCGGACGCGCGCACGAGCGGCCCGCCGCUGUCGCCUUGGCACGAGUCUUUCCCCAUCUCACCCGCGCACAACAUCGACUCGGGAACAAUAUCUGAUCCGUAGUUUGUCUGACAGUCCGAGGUCGACACCGCGGGGACGGUGACCUCCAGAAGGACACUCGACGGGUCCCCACCGGAUUCGGUUGUCCCCCAGCCCAUCGCGAUCAAAUUUUCGCCAGCGCUCGCGCCCUCGCCGACGUCGGUCGUGUCGAAGUCAAGAACGACGGGAUCAUACCUCGAGUUACUCUUCAACGUCACGACCGCGAAGUCCCAAUUCGUGGUAUCAGCAUCGUAGUCGGGAUGGUUCACGGCGUAAUCGAUCUCGAGGACAUCUGUGAUCGAGGGAUCGUACACAGAAGAGUCGUGCCAGUUUAUGUAGGCAACGGUCGCCCAAUUAUCGGUGAACAUGCAGUGCGCGGCGGUCAGCACCUUGUUCGGGGCGACCAACGACCCGCCGCACCCGUUAAACCCAACCAUCCACUCGUACGUGUGCGGGUUAACCUCGGUGCCGCCGACGAUCCGCGUGCUCAUCGUCGGGGUCGAUUUAACAGCCGUGGCGUCGGUCUCGCCGUCCACGACCUGCGUGAUGUUCGCUUCUCUGAGAUACUCGAUCGCCACGAUCGAGCCGUCGUCGGAUAAAGACGUGGUGAAGAAAGUCGACGCGUUCGCGGACGCGGGAACCAUAUCCGCGAUCUCUUCGCGGCCGACAGUUCUCCACUCCGACUUCGAAUCGCAACUGGAGUCGCAGAACGUGUCCUCGCCGUAAAUGUCGCCUCCCUGAGGACUCGUCGAGCCAAAGGGACACGGCACGCACGCGUGAUCGAGGACGUAAUGAUCCGCGGCACACGAGCACGAAGUGUUGCCCAGAUGCGGAUCGUCCCCCGGGGCCCUCGUUGACGUCUCGGGACACGGCACGCACGCGUGAUCGAGGACGUAAUGAUCCGCGGCACACGAGCACGAAGUGUCGCCCUGAUGCGGAUCGUCUCCUGGGGGCCUCGAUGACGUCCCGUUACACGGUACGCACGCGUGAUCGAGAACGUGAUGAUCCGCGGGACAUCCGCACGAAGUGUUAGGUCCGCUCCAGUCGUCCCCGGGAGGGUUCACCGCGCCGACCGGGCACGCCGCGCACGCGUUGUCCUGGACGUGGAAAUCUUCUGGACACGGCGGGGGCGGCCACGUCCUGGACGAGUUGUAUCCGCAGGAGCGAACGAACGCCGUGGGG
rnacentral:lncRNA from 1 species